rnacentral:rRNA from 1 species
UAAGGAAUAUUGCUCAAUGGGAGAAAUCCUGAAGCAGCAACGCCGCGUGGAGGAUGAAGGGUCUAUGACUUGUAAACUCCUGUAAAGAAGGAAAAAAUUCCCAUUAGAUGGGAGAUGAUGGUACUUCUGGAGUAAGCCCCGGCUAACUACGUGCCAGCAGCCGCUGUAAUACGUAGGGGGCAAGCGUUGUCCGGAUUUACUGGGUGUAAAGGGUGCUCAGGCGGAUUUGUAAGUCAGAGGUGAAAUCUUACAGCUUAACUGUGAAACUGCCUUUGAUACUGCAAGCCUAGAGUAUGGAAGAGAGUGAUGGAAGAUCUGGUGUAUCAGUGAAAUGCGUAGAUAUCAGAUAGAACACCAGUGGCGAAGGCAGUCACUUGGUCCAUUACUGACGCUAAAGCACGAAAGCGUGGGUAGCAAACA